rnacentral:rRNA from 1 species
CCUACGGGUGGCAGCAGUGAGGAAUAUUCGUCAAUGGGCGCGAGCCUGAACCAGCAAAGUAGCGUGAAGGAUGACUGCCCUACGGGUUGUAAACUUCUUUUAUAAAGGAAUAAAGUGAGGCACGUGUGCCUUUUUGUAUGUACUUUAUGAAUAAGGAUCGGCUAACUCCGUGCCAUCAGCCGCGGUAAUACGGUGGAUCCGAGCGUUAUCCGGUUUUAUUGGGUUUAAAGGGAGCGUAGAUGGGUUGUUAAGUCAGUUGUGAAAGUUUGCGGCUCAACCGUAAAAUUGCAAUUGAUACUGGAAGUCUUGAGUACAGUUGAGGUAGGCGGAAUUCGUGGUGUAGCGGUGAAAUGCUCAGAGAUAACGAAGAACUCCGAUUGCGAAGGCAGCUUACUAAACUGCAACUGACAUUGAUGUUCGAAAGUGUGGAUAUCAAACAGGAUUAGAUACCCGAGUAGUC